rnacentral:rRNA from 1 species
AUUGAACGCUGGCGGCAGGCUUAACACAUGCAAGUCGAGCGGAGCGAGGGUGCUUGCACCUUAGCUUAGCGGCGGACGGGUGAGUAAUGCUUAGGAAUCUGCCUAUUAGUGGGGGACAACAUUCCGAAAGGAAUGCUAAUACCGCAUACGCCCUACGGGGGAAAGCAGGGGAUCUUCGGACCUUGCGCUAAUAGAUGAGCCUAGGUCGGAUUAGCUAGUUGGUGGGGUAAAGGCCUACCAAGGCGACGAUCUGUAGCGGGUCUGAGAGGAUGGUCCGACACACUGGGACUGAGACACGGCCCAGACUCCUACGGGAGGCAGCAGUGGGGAAUAUUGGACAAUGGGCGGAAGCCUGAUCCAGCCAUGCCGCGUGUGUGAAGAAGGCCUUUUGGUUGUAAAGCACUUUAAGCGAGGAGGAGGAGCUCUAGGUUAAUACCCUAGAUGCUUGGACGUUACUCGCAGAAUAAGCACCGGCUAACUCUGUGCCAGCCGCCGCCGUAACAC